rnacentral:lncRNA from 1 species
CCCUCGGGUCUUACUCUAAUUUUUAUUAAACAUACUUUUACAACAUGAACCCUAAAAAAACAAAUGGGCAACCAGCAUACGGACCCAUUCCACAUAUACUUAAAAGAACAAGGCCCAAUGGUCCAAGUAACACCCAAAUCAGAGGAAGAAAAACGGUGAUGAGCCACAUCUACGUGUUAUCCACUUGAGGACGAAACAACACGUGCUGGAAUAACCUCCAUCGUCUUCACCGAGACUUUGUUGUUGCCGGAACAGAACGGCAAUCACCGGAACUGAACAGCUACCACCGGAUCCUAGCGGGAACACGAUCACAAUCAACGAACCACCAUCUUCGAAGCAUACUCCUUCAUCACCUGAACCACCAUCCCUUGGAGAGCAUCAAUCGACCCAUCGAGAGCUCAUCCACACACCAAUCACCAAACACAAAGAUUCCAAACCAUCCCACAGAUCAUACGCUUCAAGAGUCAAAUACUAGAUGAGAACAUAAGCUAGCGAGUUAUACCAAACCCCUAGAAACUAAGCCAACAGGAAGAAACGAUCUUCCUUUGGAGACAUAAACCGGCUGAGGCUAAACUGAAUCACCGGAGACAGAGAACCAAACAACCAAAAACAAAGGGCUAAAAGACAAGACCUCUUUGAUGCAGAAAUGAUUUUUAAGCUGAAAUGUCUGUCGAAUCAAUACAAUAAAAUAAUCUAAAAAUAAAAGAUUAAAUUGUUAAGAUUUAUGAAAAAUUUUGAAAAAUCAAAUGAGAAAUAAACAUCAAAAAGAAUUUAUAGAUCAAAGAUUGUAUUACAAGAGUGAUCAAUUAAAUCUAAAUCUAUAAAUUAUUUGUAAGAAG